UACAGGGCCAAUACAUUGUUGCUCUUGUUACAUUUGGUACAUCUAAUACAAUCUAAUAACCAUUAUCUGGGACACUCUCUCCUGCACAGCCAAGUGUUAAUUGUAGGUUGUGAUAAAUAAGAUGACUUCUGCCCCUAAAUAUUUUGGACUAAAAUAGAGCUCUUAACUGACUCUAAAAUGGAGAAAAAUAAGGAUUAAAGAGAGGAAGAUCAUUCUGGCCAUCAUGUGGAAGAUGAUGAAGAAAUGAUAAGCAAGGAGAUCAUGUGGGAGACUACAAGCACACGCCGCUAAGAAAUGAUAAGGACCUAACAAGGACAAUGAUAGAGUGAAUAGGAAGAAGAGGGCAAAAGGACUUUGUGAUUUAUUGGCUGCCCUGGGUGACAGAGAGGAGUGAAACAAUACUCCAAGGUGAUGUGGAAGAUAGUGUGGAUAAAGAGAACGGGAAUUUUAAAAAGGGAAAUGAUGUGUUCUGUUUAGUAUGUGUUACAUUUGAGGUGCCAGCAGGACAUCUGUAUAAAUAGCCAGAAAGAGGGGAGAUGAUUUCUGAACUGUCAGCUCCUUGUAGUAGCCAGGUAGAUGGUAGAGAGCAAUGGUCCCUAACAGGGUUGUGUGUCUAUGGGGAAGGGAAGAUGGGUUUGGCUUACUCAAAUUUGAGUAUGAAGUAAAUUACAACCACUUA